AUGCUGACUCCCUCUGAUUCCCAGGCUGCAGAACUGUUCCUGACACUGGUGUCUGAGCUCCAGGGCCUCUCCCCAGAUGAGCUGUUGGCCCUGUGGCGACAAUCUUCCUUUAAAUGCCGGGACAACUGGCAGCCGCUGGUGGACGCCCUGCCCUCCUGUGGCACCGAGCCCUGUGUGGGCCUCAUGAAGGACCUCAUCGUGUCCGGGGAGGUGGAGGUGGACCAGACGGAAGCCUGGCUCUGGUCGCUGGCCUUCAUCCCGCAGCCCACGGAUGCCAUGGUCCACAUGCUGCUGCCGCUCCUGCACACCUCGGGGGCCAGCCCCACCGCCUUCCUUGGUAUCUCGGCCCUGGUGCACAACCUCUGUGCCUCCCUGGACGGGCCCUGUGGACAGCUGCCUGGUGUCGGCUCCCUCGUGAGGACCCUGGGACAGGCCUUGGGUGCCAACUGCACCUUCCAGGAGCCCUCGGACGCUGACCAGCUCCGGCUUGUGCUGAAGGCGAUUGGCAACGCGGGCCUGGCGGCCACAGCUCUCAGCCCCACACUGAGCACCUGCGCGUCUCAGAGGGGCUGCCCCCCUGAGGUCCGCCUGGGGGCCAUCCAGGCCUUCCGGAGGAUCCCCUGCUCUGCAAACGUGAGCUCCUGCAUGUCAUUCGCUGGGGUUACGAUUGGGUGGCCGUGGCUCUCGAACCACCGUUUGCUAAUUCACUUCUUUGUUCAUUCAUUCAUCAUAGGUAUACUGAGCUCCUACUAUGCACUGGGCCCUCGUGUGAAUAGGUGUCAGGUCUCUGAUGUCGCGGAGCCUGUCUCUGGUGGGAGGCAUUACUUAGCGACCAAACGCACAAACAAGCCUAUGGUUGCAAACCGUAUAGAAGCCGUCCUGUGCUGCAAACGCUCUAGUUCCGGGGUUUGCAGGCUUUGGACCACAGGCCACAUCCUCGCUGGCUGUUUUGUACACAGCACUUUGCUAGAAUGCAGCUGCUCCCGCUCAUUUAUGUGUUGCCUGGGGCUGCUGUCUUGCUACAACUGCAGAACUGAGCAGUGGCAGGAGAGUGCAUGGCUCACAAAGCCAGAAAAAUUUACCAUGUGUCCCUUUGCCAAAAAAGGUUGCUGA
rnacentral:lncRNA from 1 species